rnacentral:rRNA from 1 species
GAUGAACGCUGGCGGCGUGCCUAAUACAUGCAAGUCGAGCGAACGGACGAGAAGCUUGCUUCUCUGAUGUUAGCGGCGGACGGGUGAGUAACACGUGGAUAACCUACCUAUAAGACUGGGAUAACUUCGGGAAACCGGAGCUAAUACCGGAUAAUAUUUUGAACCGCAUGGUUCAAAAGUAAAAGACGGUCUUGCUGUCACUUAUAGAUGGAUCCGCGCUGCAUUAGCUAGUUGGUAAGGUAACGGCUUACCAAGGCAACGAUGCAUAGCCGACCUGAGAGGGUGAUCGGCCACACUGGAACUGAGACACGGUCCAGACUCCUACGGGAGGCAGCAGUAGGGAAUCUUCCGCAAUGGGCGAAAGCCUGACGGAGCAACGCCGCGUGAGUGAUGAAGGUCUUCGGAUCGUAAAACUCUGUUAUUAGGGAAGAACAUAUGUGUAAGUAACUGUGCAUAUCUUGACGGUACCUAAUCAGAAAGCCACGGCUAACUACGUG